GGUCCAGACUCCUACGGGAGGCAGCAGUGAGGAAUAUUGGUCAAUGGCCGAGAGGCUGAACCAGCCAAGUCGCGUGAGGGAAGAAUGUCCUAUGGAUUGUAAACCUCUUUUGUCAGGGAGCAAUUGGGUCCACGCGUGGGCUUAGCGAGAGUACCUGAAGAAAAAGCAUCGGCUAACUCCGUGCCAGCAGCCGCGGUAAUACGGAGGAUGCGAGCGUUAUCCGGAUUUAUUGGGUUUAAAGGGUGCGUAGGCGGACGCUUAAGUCAGCGGUAAAAUUGCGGGGCUCAACCUCGUCGAGCCGUUGAAACUGGGUGCCUUGAGUGGGCGAGAAGUACGCGGAAUGCGUGGUGUAGCGGUGAAAUGCAUAGAUAUCGCGCAGAACUCCGAUUGCGAAGGCAGCAUGCCGGCUCCACACUGACGCUGAGGCACGAAAGCGUGGGUAUCGAACAGGAUUAGAUACCCGGGUA
rnacentral:rRNA from 1 species